GGGCUUUCUUUUGCUAUACCCCUUCCCACCUGUCCUGUUGUGUGUAUCCUUAGGUUUAUUAAAGGUAGGGACUCCUAUUCCCCUUUUUCUAUAUUACUCUUCUAUUUUAGGACUCUUGUGGUCCUAUGUUUUUGCUUUGAGUUUUCUUAUUUGAGGGUUAUUCCCUUAUUUGGAAGAGUAAUUUCAGGACUUCCUAGCACUUAUUCAUCGG